ACGCACGCUGGCGGCAUGCCUAACACAUGCCAGUCGAACGCACCCUUCGGGGUUAGUGGCGCACGGGUGCGUAACGCGUGGGAAUCUGCCCUUUGCUUCGGAAUAAAUCAGGGAAACUUGUGCUAAUACCGGAUGAUGUCUUCGGACCAAAGAUUUAUCGGCAAGGGAUGAGCCCGCGUAGGAUUAGGUAGUUGGUGGGGUAAAGGCCUACCAAGCCGACGAUCCUUAGCUGGUCUGAGAGGAUGAUCAGCCACACUGGGACUGAGACACGGCCCAGACUCCUACGGGAGGCAGCAGUGGGGAAUAUUGGACAAUGGGCGCAAGCCUGAUCCAGCAAUGCCGCGUGAGUGAUGAAGGCCCUCGGGUCGUAAAGCUCUUUUACCAGGGAUGAUAAUGACAGUACCUGGAGAAUAAGCUCCGGCUAACUCCGUG
rnacentral:rRNA from 1 species